CUCAUCUGCCCUCCUGGGAUUCCAUAAGGCCCCCAAAAGGGCUGUCUUGGUUCUUCUAGUAUCCCGGGGUCUCAGUCUGGCUGAGCAAACAGGCAACGUUUUCGAUCCAAAGCAAUACUGCGCCUUGUGUGUUUGCAAAGUCUAUUUGCAUCCUAGCCUUCUAGGGAUUCAAAAUCUCUGGGUGAUAGCUGUGUCAGGUGAAUGGAGGUGCAGGAGAUCAUAUUUUUGAAGUGAUAUUCCAACUCCCAGUCACUAGCCUGUCACUCUAGAUUGAGAACUGACUCCGAGAGAAAGGAAAGCAGCUAAUACACAUUAAGCGAUGUUAAAAUGCCCCCAGACCGUGCUGGAUCUUUUUGUGGUGUUUUCAAAAUCCACUAGAGUCUCCAAAUCCUAAGGCCAUCACUUAGUUUUGUAAUCAUGGACAAAUUAAUUCACCUUUCUGUUUUUCCAUUUUAAAAACAAACUAAAAAAACUCCUUCGUGGGGACUUGUGGAUUAAAUAUGAAGUAGUCUGUACUGAAGUGAUCACUAAGCUUUAUUAAUUUUAGCACAGUUUGUAGUUAAUGCUGACAAUGACCCUUCGAAGGUCAUUUUGUAUCUUAAAUGUAAGACAUUUUUGGCAGUCUGCUGGUAAUGUAGGCAUUCCCCUUCUCUGCCCUCUAUGUUGUCUCUCCAGUAACAGAAAUUUCCUUGUAUUUGAGAGAGGAGAGGGGACAUUUUGAUCUAGUGGGGCAGAGGAAAAGUGGGUUACAAAAUGGAAAAUGUCUGGGCAGAUGAUGCACACUUUCCAGCACUUGGGAGGCAGAGACAAGUGGAUCUCGGGUUUCGAGGCUAGUACCUCCUACUUAGGGGUUCCAGGACAGCCAGGGCUACAUAGAUCUUAUCUUUGAGGCUAGUGGGGGCAGAGGGAGGAAAGGAGAAAGGGAUGGGUAACCUGGUUUCUUUAAAUAAGAGUGCUAGGACUUCCAGAUCGCCACAAAAACAUCAAGGGAUGUAGAUUAAUAGACAUUUUAAAUAAUGCUUGAUAUCGCUUAAUAUAUAUUUAAUCUCUGUGCGGUUUUUUAUUAAAUAUAUUUUUUAGACAGGAGUUUUGUUCUUUUUCUUUUUAACUUCAGAACAGUUCUAUAGAAUGCUGGAAAAAUAAUUUGUUUUGUUCCAAUUCUGUGCACAUUUCUGUUUUCCUUCAAUGUAUUUCUCAGAAAAUGACUUCUAUGUCUUCACUCAAAACAGGGAUUGAGGCACCAUUCUGGAAAAAGAAAUUGACCAAUGGCAACCCAGACUCCAACAUUACUCCAUCUAGAGAAUAUCCUUGUGUCUAUAUGGAUGUGCACCUGUCAAUAAUAAAUCCGAUUGAUGGCCUAUGGCUUAGGCAAGAAAUAGGAAGUGGAACAUCCAGGAGGCAGAAAGAAUUCUGGGAUAGAGCCAAAUACCAGAAGAUUCGCCCAGACGAAUGUGACCAGACAGAAGCACGGUAACUGAGCACAGCCUAAAGCCCUUCCAAUUUUAGAGUUUUCUUACGGAAGAGCAUCACUGAAUAAAAUCUGUACUCACGAUCUAUUGCUGCAGAACAGUUACUUCGAACUUUGAGCUAUCUUCAGGCCACUCAGCACACUUGGCACUGGCCUUGUCUUCUCCCUGUGGCUAGCAGCAGCUGUGAGGUAUCUAUCGCUAAGGUGCUCAGCCAGCAGAUGUGGAGGACAGAGCAUUCUGCAGCUGUGACUCUUGUGAAUGCAUGUGAGGGUUUCAGAAAUAAAUGAUACAUUUCUAAAUAG